rnacentral:lncRNA from 1 species
CUGAACUGUUAUACGUUGUCAUUUCGGGGCCUUUUAUAGCAGACUAUGCGAUAUGGGCUUUGCUUUUGAAGGCCGUACAGUGACCUAUAGUUAUUAAUUUCUGUGUCAUUUUGGUCUCUUGUAGAGAGAUGUCUCAUUGACAAUCAUACCACAUCUUCUUUUUAUAUAUUUCAAUCAUUUAACAAGACAUCAAAUUGUUAUUUUGU